rnacentral:tRNA from 1 species
GCCGUCAUGGUGGAAUUGGUAGUCACUGGGGACUUAAAAUCCCUUGCUGUAAAAAGCGUGUCGGUUCGAGUCCGACUGGCGGUA